rnacentral:rRNA from 1 species
CCCGUCACACCAUGAGAGUUGGAAAUACCCGAAGCCUGUGAGCUAACUUAAAGAGGCAGCAGUCGAAGGUAGAGCCAAUGAUUGGGGUGAAGUCGUAACAAGGUACC